ensembl:lncRNA
GGCGCCAUUUUCGAGUGAUGCCUGAUCUCAUCAAUCUAGCGGGAGAGACGGGAUAACCUGUCCGAGAGUACAGCGCCACUAGGACUCCGCCGAAAAAUCACUUAAAUCUCCAAAAAUUACUUCGAGCAAAGGGCAGGUGGCGGAGCUUGGCCAGUGUUGGCGCAGCCGGCACUUAUUUUGACAUCACCACUGCCCCCACCAAAAAAAAAAAAAAAAAAAAAAAAAAGGAACUGACUAUCACGAGUAUCUGGACCAUGUGGAGAAAGGACUGAGACUGGAAGCAGAAAACACAUUGUCUGUAAAAGCAAAGUUCUGGACAGCAGCUCACUCUAGUAUAGGGCAAUAAAUGCCACAUGAGAUCAUCUCUUCAGUUCGAAACUUUGCAUCUGACUUAUGUACCUGGUGUGAUGACGUCCACUAUCUUUUCAUGACUCCUAAGUUAUGGAGGUAAGUCAAGAUUUCAUAAUGGUUAUUGUCAUGUAACAUUCAUUCUGAACUUGUAUACCGUUAACAUUUCUUUAAUUACUAAGCACUCAUGUAGCAUUGCAUUUUUAUUUUCAAAGUACAGUAUAUUCCUGUUUUGGCUGAGCUAUUUUACUCUGAUUAAAUGUGUAAUUUUGCAUAACUUUCAACUAGUUAGUUCCUAUAUAGAUCUAUACUUUAAUCUCAUUUUGUGUGCAAUUAUCCACAUAAACUUCUAAUAGAAAAAAAAAUACCACGUUUUUUCCCCAUAGUCUUUAAUUUGAAUCAACGCUUUCAGACUCUUUAUAUAAAGGAUCCUCAUCUAUCUUUGAAUUUACUGUAAUUUUUGUUUUUCCAAGUGCCUGUUUUCUGAGACUAUAGAGUUCCAAAAUUUUCAGUUAAGUUCAGUUACAACUGUAAAAUGUCCAGGACUGUAGGGGAUAUAAAGAUCAGUACAAAACACAAUCCCAUCCCUGAAAAGACUAAAAAAAAAAAAAAGAGGUCCCAUCAUGGCUCAGGGGAACUGAAUCUGACUAGCAUCCAUGAGGACACAGGUUCAAUCCCUGGCCUCGCUCAGUGGGUUAAAGACCUGGCAUUGCCAUGAGCUGUGGUGUAGGUCAAAGUCGUGGCUCGGAUCUGACAUUGCUGUGGCUUCGGUGUGGAACAGCAGCUGCAGCUCCAAUUCGAUCCCUAGCCUGGGAACCUCCAUAUGCUGCAGGUGCGGCCCUGAAAAGACAAAACAAACAAACAAACAAACAAAAAACCCCAAAAAAACCCAAUCCCAGGCCUUGUUUUAAGAGAACUCAUGGAACUUCACACAGGCAGCCAGACUAUCUUGAGGUCUCUGAUUACAAAAAGGGUGAAAGAUAAACCUCUCUUACUUGGCUUCAAGCUUGAGAACCCAAAGAAAUUCAAAUUCUUACCAGGGUGUGAAAUGAGGAAAGUAACAUGAAAUAGAGACAUUUGGUAGUUGUAUGUUUUACUGAACUGAUAGAGUGAAAAACUACUUUAAAACAAUGAUCUCUGGAUUUGAGAUGUUGGCAUGAAAUCUGAAGGUAUAGAAAACUCUACGUGGUUAAAUAAGUCUUAGGCACAUGUUACUUUUUUAUUCUGUGCCAUACUUAAUACUCAUUUCCCAUACAUUAUAUAAGGUGUUAGUUUUAUUUUGUUUUGUUUUGUUUGCCACCCUGCUGCAUAUGGAGUUCCUGGGCCAGGGAUCAAAUCUGAGCCACAGUUGCAGCCUACACCACAGUUACAGCAUUGCCAAAUCCUUAACCCACUGUGCCAGGGCUCUAACCUGCAUCCUAGUGUACCAGAGAUACUACUGAUCGCAUUGCACCAUAGCAGGAAUUCCAUUAGCUUUUUAUCUAUUAAAAUAUUUCAGGGGUUGGAUCUAUCUCAUAGCUUAGAUAAAUAUUAAAGCAUUUUCUAAGCUAACCAAUGAUGAGAUUCUGAGUCUUUUGGUGAAAUUAUACAUAACUUUUCAUCUCUAACAAAUCCAAUAGAAGGCCUAAUAACUCAUGAAGUGUAAUUCUGGGACAAAGCUGGUGAGUAGUUAUGGUUUUUAUGAUGUUAUAUUCUAGAAAUACAUGUAUUUUUAGUAAUGUAUUUUCAUCUCUUUAUUUCUUGAACUUACAUUUAAAACACUAAGUUUGAUGUCACAUUGGUGUUUUUCCAUGGGUUCAUUGGCUCCAGGAAGGCAAUAAAAUUUCCCAAAUUUCUUUUUUAAAAUAUCCUCUUGGUGGCUUCUACAUUGUUAAAUGUGCUUGUUAUAGGGUCAACUUCCCCAGCACAGAGGAAAAAUAACAGUAGAAUUAUUGGAUAUUUAGAAGUCUUAACAGGUCUUUUAUUAUUCCAGCAAGGUGUCUAGUAAUGUGGCCAUUUCUAUUAUUUAUGGUAGAGAACCAGUACAAAGACUUAUAAAAUGAAGAUUGUCAGAUGUAAAUUUUACAUAAGAUAAAUUAGAAAAAAUGUACGAUUUCCUAAAUCAUAUAUUUCUCAAGCUGCUUUCCCUUGCUUCAGGCUCCUGAUUUCAGAUAUAUUUUGAAAGCAGCCCAAAUUAAUUUCAACUUUAAUAUAGCCUAAGAAUUCUUUGUAAUUAUGACUUAUAUAUUAAAUUCAAGAGUAAAAUUCAAAACCAGAGCUCCUUUUCAGAAAAUCUGUGUAGGGGGGAUUUCCAAUCACUUAUAAGGUUAAAUUAUUGAGGUUCUAGAAUAAGCUAAAAUCUUUAGUGCCUUAUCAGAUAUGAAACUGUAGAUAAUGGAACGAGGCUGAAACAAACCUAAGUGGGAGAAUAGGGGAGACCCAACUGUUGAUGGUAUCAAGAGUGGCAAACCUUAACAUGCUUUGUGAUGAUACAUACCUGUGUAUAUGAUGAGAUGGAUUGAUAGGAGUAUAUGAUUUGAUAGACCAAAGUCUUCAGGUUGGUUGACCAAGACAAGCUUCUGCCGUUAUUAUCUUAUAAUUUCUUAUAAUUUUCUGAUAAUUCAGUCAAGAAGCUAAACGAUGCCCAUGUAAAUGUUAAAGUCAUUUUUCUAAAGCAGGCAAGAGUUUUAAUUUGCCUCUGGUACAUCUAACGUGUCCCUGUUUUCUUCCAACUAUACACCUGCCUCCCUUUGUAAAAAAACAAUUUUUUUUCACAUCUUGACUUCCCAGUUACAGUGUCCCACUCUAUUUUGGAGUGAACACAAGAGGCUUACUGAGAUGAUCUUGAUAGGUGUGUUCCAGAUGAUAUAAUUUCUAAAAUAUUUACUAAAAUAAACUCAGAGUUCCUGUCGUGGCACAGCAGAAACUAAUCUGACUAGGAACCAUGAGGUUACAGGUUCAAUCCCUGGCCUUGCUCAGUGGGUUAAGGAUCCUGCAUUGCCCGGAGCUGUGGUAUUGGUCGCAGACUUGGCUCCGAUUCCACAUUGCUGUGGCUCUGGUGUAGGCUGGCAGGUACAGCUCCGAUCAGACUACUAGCCUGGGAACCUCCAUAUGCCACCGGUGCCGUCCUAAAAAGACAAAAAAAGAAAAAA